UAAUUGGAGUUCUUACAAGAUGGC
rnacentral:piRNA from 1 species